GACGAACGCUGGCGGCGUGCUUAACACAUGCAAGUCGAACGGAAAGGCCCUGCUUUUGUGGGGUGCUCGAGUGGCGAACGGGUGAGUAACACGUGAGUAACCUGCCCUUGACUUUGGGAUAACUUCAGGAAACUGGGGCUAAUACCGGAUAGGAGCUCCUGCUGCAUGGUGGGGGUUGGAAAGUUUCGGCGGUUGGGGAUGGACUCGCGGCUUAUCAGCUUGUUGGUGGGGUAGUGGCUUACCAAGGCUUUGACGGGUAGCCGGCCUGAGAGGGUGACCGGGCCAGAUUGGGCCUGAGAGACGGCCCGGCCUCAGCGGGGGGGCAGCGGGGGGAAAUAUUGCACAGUGGGCGGAAGCGUGAUACAGACACGCCGGGUGGGGGAGGACGGCUUUCGGUUUUAAACCCGCUUCCCCCGGUGACGAAGGGGGGGUGAGGGUAAGGGAAAAAAAAGCCCCGGCUAACUACGUG
rnacentral:rRNA from 1 species